UACGAAGGGGGCUAGCGUUGUUCGGAAUUACUGGGCGUAAAGCGCGCGCAGGCGGCUAUCCAAGUCAGUGGUGAAAGCCCGGAGCUUAACUCCGGAACUGCCAUUGAAACUGUUUAGCUGGAGUAUGAGAGAGGUGAGUGGAAUUCCCAGUGUAGAGGUGAAAUUCGUAGAUAUUCGGAAGAACACCAGUGGCGAAGGCGACUUACUGGACACAUAUUGACGCUGAGGUGCGAAAGCGUGGGGAGCAAACAGG
rnacentral:rRNA from 1 species